CGAUGCUUUGUUCAACAUUAAGCAGUUAGGUCCCGUUUCGCGAAGAAUAAUCGCCAUGAGAUUUAUUUCGUGUAUUUUUCUCCUUUUAACUGUGAGCGUAGAAUUAUUUUCUGCUCAAAAAAUCGAAUGUAAGGCAAAUUCUUACAAAAAUGAUGCGUCUCUACUAUCUAAACUCAAAGGAUAUUUGUAUACCAUAUCGACAAGCAUUUCAUAUUCGAAUAAUGAAAUAUUCAAAUUUAAUGCUAUAGUAAAGGAUAACAUUUUCGUUAGAACAACAAAUGACGCUAAGUGUUGCAAAACGAUGAGGGUUGCGACGACCGUAAAGAAAGAUCGUUUUACAUACGUGAUUACGAAUGAUAAAGAUUGUCCAACGCAAUUGACUGAAAACGCUAGUAUGAAAUUGAUUUCCACAAAUGCUGACCGCGAUGGUUCUUACUGUAUCCUUGUCUGGACAUGUCGCACUUCGAGACAAGGCGUGCACGCAUUCUGCUCGAAAAAUAAAGUAUCCGAAAAUAUGAAGAAAUGGAUUUCUGGCCAGUACAAGAAACUGCGUUUAACAGAACAUAAAGUUGUUCAAAAUAAAGAUUACAAGGACGGAAAGUGUUUUAAAAAAUAAUAAAAAUUCUGAAUUACUAAAUUA